rnacentral:lncRNA from 1 species
AAAUAAAUAAACAUUUAUUUAUUAAAUAGUCCAUUGAAAGUCCAGGACUACUGUUGCUACCCAAAGCCCAAAUACAAAAAACCCAUAUCCGGGUAUAACCCAAUAGCCAAAACAAUACCUAAUACCCCUGAGCUAAACCCAAACCCAAAUAAGACCCGUUACACCCAGCAGCCCGUUAGACUCAUUAUCCCUGCUAGCCUAAGUCAGACCUAACCCAUUACAUUACAGACCUUGACCCAAAACAAAACAGCCCAAAAGGCCCAACAGACUUAAGAGAAACAGGGAAACCCUAGGGUUUCCUGAAUACUGUGGCGCCGCAAACAUUUCUGGAAGCUUCGGGGAGUGUCUGGCAACCCCCAAAUCGAGGCCACUGUUUAAUGAGUUGUCCCAAGGGCCUUCAAUGCUCAUCAACGCCCCGAUCAUCGGUCGUCCCUUGGUCUAGCCCCAAAUUACGUCAUGAAUGUCGUGACCGUCACCAAGGCUCCAUCAGCAUCGUGAUCAGUGCACGCGUCUACACCAGCAUGGUCACUGCUGGAUCCCUCGAUCGAUUGCCUGCAAGAAAAGGAAACAAACAGCAGAUACGCGAAAAAAGAAGAGUAGAAAAUGGCAAGGAAAUCACAGCACAUCAGUCAAAGAUACAAAGACACAAAAUAGAGAGAAAUCUUAGAUUUCUUUCCCCGAAUAUGUAAGGGACCAAGGCUAUAAAGCCUUUCUUUUUACUUGUAAAAAGGACUUACGUUCUGAAAAUACAGAGAGAAUCAAUAAAAACGAGAGAUUCAGCAGAAAGAUUUGUUCUUGCACAUAUAUACACAACAAGCAUCUCAAUCGAUUAAGUAUACAAAGGUGAAAUUUUUAAUACAUAUACAUACAUGUAAACUGUAAAUAAUGAAAAAGUAAAGGGUCGAACCUUUAUUUGUGUUAAAAAUCGAGGUUUGGACCUCCAACCACCGUAUGGGGAGGAGUUGGUGACGGCGCGUGAGCGCGUAAGGCCGAGGACCAAGGCUCGGCUCGACGGAGGCCGGAGCCAAGCACUCUCUCUUUCUCCUCUCAUUUUAGAGAGAAUUUUAAGUUUUUCUUUAAAAAACCCGGUGUAAAAUGAUUUUCGGGCUAAAGCUUUGGUUUAUAUAGCCCCUGUGAAACAUCGACGUUUUAGACCCCCAGGAUCCGCGCGUUGACCCGAUUACCCGGGGAGGAUCCGCGCAUUUUUGAGAAUUGGGUUAAUUACCCAAUUGAUCCUUUUGCCCCUUUUUGUAUUUGCAAUCAAACUUUAUUUUAUUUAUGAUUUGGCCCAAAUAUUUUAUUUUAGUUUUAAUUUAGUCCCGAUGGCUAUUAAAUUAUAUUCUGGAAAACGUCGCCGUUUUGGGGAUAGGGCAAUUUGCCCAGUGAGCCCCUUUGAUUUUGCGCGCGUUUUAAAUAGAGCCUUAAUUCAGUUUUAGUUCUUUUAAAUUCGCCUCGUAAUUUGGCUGGACUUUAAAUUUAGUCCUAUAUUAUUAUUAUUAUUAUAUAUAUUUAUAUAUUGUUAUUUGUUUUAUUUUAUUCUUACUUUUAUAUUACACAUUAAAAUUAUUUUAUUACAAGUAUUAUUAUAUGUAUUAUUAUUAUUUGUUAUUUUCCUCAAAUUAUUAUUAUUUUACAUCAAUUAUUUUAUAUUAUUAUUAUAUUUUCACAUAUAUUAUAUAUUUACUAAUUACAUGUCAUUUUUACAUAUAAACUUUCAUUGUUUUAUGUCAUAUUUCUUAUUUCCCAUAUAUUUUAUUAUAUAACAUUUAUUAUGAUUUAUUUUUUAUUCUACAUUACUUUUUUUAUAUAUGUUAUGUAUCUCAUAUAUUACCAAUUAUAUUAUUUAUGUUUAUAUCAUAUAUAUUAUUUAAAAUUUGUAAAUUAUCAUUAUUAAAAUGUAUUUUUAACACAUAUUACAUACAUAUCUAACUAUUAAUUAUUUGUUUAUGUAUUAUUUCAUUUUAAACUGAUAUUUUUGAAUCCUUUACAAACUUUUAAACGAGUAUAUUUUAUAUGUAUAAUUAUUAUUCUAUUUUUGUUAUUAUUUAUUACAUAUUAUAUUAAAUACUAUUUUAGAAUUAUUAAUAUCACAUUUUAAUUAUGUGCAUAUUUUGCUAACAAUUAUUAAUUUUAUUUUUAUUAGAUCUGUUAUAUAAUUUUAUAUUGUAUGUGUCAUGGGUGUAUUAAAUAUUAUUUUUAGAAUUAUUAUUAUAUGUUAUAUUUUGUAAGCAUAUACAUUGAUAUUAUAUUCUUAUUUGAAUGUCGUGAAUUAUUUAAUUAUUGCUUUCUUAUAUAUCGUGCAUUAUUUAAUUAUUACCUUGUAUGUUUGUAUAUUUUGUUUAUUCAUUCUCAAUACAUGCUAUAUAUAUCUUUGUAUGCAUAUUAUUAAUAUUUGCUAUUUUAUAUGUAUGAAUCUAAUGCACGUUCUUUAUAUCAUUGCCAUCAUUUUGUUUAAAUGCACGUUUUAUUUACCUACUACAAUAAUAUGUUACUAUGUAUGAUUUAUAAUGCAAUACAAUUCCCUACGCAUCAUCUUUAAAAAGACAAGGCUCCAAAAUUUUCAAAAAAAAAUAUAAGGCAAUGCUUGGUGUUUGGAAAUUUCGAAAAAGUAGUGCCCUAACUUAUUGGGUUGCGACUUUUCUCGUUAAGUUCGAAUAGUCAAGUACCCUUCUAAGUUUUUAAAGGUUUUCAAAACGUAAGCGACUGCCUUGGAACUGCAAAGCGAUAUGUCCUAACUUACUGGAUGUAGCAUUUUGUCGUUUCGAGAUAGGGAUUUCUAAAAAGGCUAACUUAGUGUCAAUACUUUGAUACAAGUGAACCCAAAUUUUCAAAAAAUCAAAAUAUUUUAAAGAGGAUUACAUCUUAAAAUCUUUAAAAUUUUUGACAUUUAAAGACAUUUGAUAAUCAAUUAGGUACCAAUUUUUGGGCGUUACGAGGGUGCUAAUCCUUCCUCGUACGUAACCGACUCCCAAACUCGUUCUAUUGAUUUCGUAGACCAAAACCGAUGAUUUUAAAACAAAAUGUUUUAAAGGUGAUCCAAUCACACCUAAAACGAUUGGUGCCGACUCCCGUUUUCAUUUUUUAAAAUCGAUUCCCAUUUUCCAAAACUCGAUUUAAAAAUGGUUUCGACAGCUUGGUGACUCCACUGGGGACCUUUAAGAGAGUCAUGCCGUGUAAUUAAUUAUCUCUUGUCUUAAUGUCGGAAAUUUAAAAAAUUUUAAGAUUUAAUCCUCUUUGCAUUACAUGUGUUUGUAUUAUUGCAUGUGUUGCUAUAUUCUAAUACGCAUUGCAUUUGCAUGACCGUUGUGGUCACACCCUUAAGUGGGAGUGAGAAGCUAUGCCUUCGUGAGGUUUUCGCCUCCGUGCAGGAUAGUGGAUCACUUUCGAGAUACAUCCAUACCUAUGGUUUCGUGAGAUUUUCAUCUCCGUGUAGCCAUAGGGAAAUGUAUUCCCCUGAACUAAACUCGAUUCAAAUGAGCCUAUAAUGGGUGAGGGUCGAGGAAUCUGCUGGUUCAGGUACCUCAAACUUUAGAACCAACCUCAUAUAGAAAAAACCGUAAGAGCCCAACUUAGUUAGAGUUAAACUUUAGAUAUUACCCUUAUAAAUUAUUGUUGAGAUUUAUUGAUAUCAUGUGAUACUGACUAUUUCUUUUCUUUUUUUUGCAUGACAUUUUUCAUUUACAAAGGUAUCGAUUCACGGUCAGUGUCUAAAUUAGAGAGUUUUAUUAUGGAGAACAGACUUUUUGAUAGAGUGGAGGCAACGCCAAUGUCCAUAGAUGGUCUGAGCAAACUCAGUUAGAAAAGGGAGAUAGUAUAGCUGCGGGAUAUAUGUCGGAGCUGUUAGGAUAUACUCGUAUCAGUGUUACGCAGAAUAAUCUCCAAGAGCUUAAAGAGAUUUGGGAUCAAUGGGGCAACGAGACUAAACAGUUAUUCUAUGGUAAUUACGGAGACUUACCUUACUUGCUCGAUGUUCAAAUAGAUGAGCACUUGUUCCGAGCCCUCGCUCAAUUUUGGAAUCCAGCGUACAGUUGCUUUACUUUCGGGGAGGUAGACUUGGUGCCUACCGUAGAGGAGUACACUGCCUCGUUACGAUGUCCCAGGUUCCAGGUGGAUAGAAUCUAUUCUCAAGCUGUUAAUGUCCCUACCUUUUAGAAGAAAUUGAUGGCUAUUACAGGGAUGAGCGAGCAGUGGAUUACUGCCAGAAUUAAAGAGAAGGGCGAGUGCAAGUGCAUUUCAUGGGAUACUUUGAAGGGUCUGAUUUUGACACACCCUGAUGAAGCAAAGAGGGUAGAUGUUUUUGCCUUAAGUUUGUACGGAUCGAUGGUGUUCCCUAGGGCUUUGGGAUAUGUGGAUGAGGCAACCACAGAUCUUUUCCAUAGACUCAGUAAGAGGGUCACCUCUAUCCCUACAAUUUUGGCAAAAACAUUCAGGUCCUUAGGCACAUGUAGGAAAGCUGGUGCAGGCAGGUUUGUUGGUUGUGCACAAUUGCUUCUAGCUUGGUUCUAUAGUCAUUUUCGGUUGAUAGAUAAGGUCGUUUGUCAGGUUUUCUUCGAGGAUUACUGACUGCUGAAGGACAUAGUCGCUUCAACUAGGAGAGUUGAUGCUCCAGAGGAGAAUUGGAUGGCACUACUUCAAAAUAUUCAGUCAAAAGAUGUUGACUAGAGAGCUCUGUGGAUGAUUCCUGGUGAGAUUCUUUACCGUUGCGGCAAUUUCGAUUGGGUCCCUUUAUUGGGAAUUUGGGGUGCCAUUGGUUAUGCCCCUUUGCUCGUGUUAAGGCAAUUCGGUUUGAGGCAGUUCGUGCCAGCAACUCAUGGGCUAACUCAAAGAGAGUUCGCAUAUAGAGGAGCCGAUUACAAAAAAAAUGUCGGUGAGAUUUCUAGCGCUUGGAACAAGACGUGUCGGUUGAAAGGAGUAGCUAUUGGCCCUGCUACGACUCCAGAAUAUGUUGAAUGGAAAGGUAGAAGGAUCAAUGAUAAUAUUCCUGAGCCAAAUAUGGAAAGAGCUCGACCGAUGGAGGAAUAUCUGCAAGUGAUGCCCUCGGAGUUAGAAAUUAUGAAGCAAGAAUUUGAGAUGAAAAAUUUGGAGCUUGAGAAAAGGAUAGGAAAGCUCGAAGAAGAAAAGAUGUACUUGAGUUUAGAUAUCGAUGUCCAGAAGAUGGAGGUCGAGAAAGAAAGAAAGGAAAAGAGGAAAAUUGAAGAGGAUAGAGAUGAUUUGAAGGAACACUACAAAAAGGCACAGGUAUCCUUGAGAAGAGCGAAAAUAGGAAGGUCUUCAGAUCAGUUGCAGAAAGAGGUCCAAGAAGGAAAGGCUAGAGCUGAGUACUGGGAGAAGAAGUUUAAAGAGAUGCAAUCGCGGAAUUUGGUAUUAGAAGAAGAGAAUAAAGGGUUAAAGUCUAAAAUAACUGAGCUUGGAAGAUCCCUUCGUUGGCAUCGCAACCAUGAUUCUACGAUCGAGUUAAAAGAGCUAAAGAGUAAAGUUGAAGAUUUAGAAGCGGCAUUGCAGGAAGGUAAACUUCAGAUCGAGCAACUCGAGACGCAAGGAGAUUAUCUAAAGGGAGAGCUUCAUCAGUCUAGAGGGCAGAUUAGAGAAAGGGAUCAUGUCAUGGGAGAAGCCAUAGCUCAGAUUCGAGAGGUUACUGAAUAUGUGCAAGACUUGGCAGUACGAGCCGAUGUAUUGAGUAUGAUGUGUGGGUCGUCAUCAGACAUAGGAAGAGAGUUAGCCCUUUUAUUAGAUAGAGUUAAAACUUUGGGUAUUAGGGCGAAAGCGUACUUGUAAUCCAUUUAUAUGUAAAGAUAUUCUUUUUCUAAAUAAAUUUUUCUAAACGAGAUUGAAUCGAGAUUGAUGCCUUUGUUGCAUUCAUACACUUGCAUUACAUCAUAUCAUAUGCAUUCAAGGUUAUAGAAAGACCCUAAUUAGUUAAAGUUUCUUUACAAAGGUAGAAAAGAAAAACUAGAAAUUACACAUCCUUACGGCACUCGCACUAAAACUAAGAACAUGGAUUAAAGGUCUGAGCAGUUGCGAAAGGAUAUGCAAGACCAGUUGCAAGAGCAGUUGGCUAAAAUGUAGAAUGAGAUGAGGGAACAAAUGAUGGAAGCUCAGAGGAAUAUAAUGGCCGAAAUGGCUCAGUUACUGAGGGCCACUGAUAAAGGAAAGGCUCCUAUGGCCAUCACUGAAGAGGAAAAUGAGGGUCCUCCUCCAGGUUUUACACCGCCGCAUGUAUCAUUGCAAACUGAGGCACCUCCUAGAAGGCCAUCUACUACUGUGAGGCCUCAGCAUGGGCCAAUUGAUGCUGGUGUCCAUGUGAAUUUUCUGGUUGGUUCAGGGCUUAAUAUGGGUGACAAUCUUACUAAUCCUCUUGUUCUCGAUCUAAAUAUGGUGGAAAAGGAGGAUUUGAAGGCCGAAGCUGCAAGGCAAUUGGAUGAACGCUGCAGAUGGUUAGAAGAAAAGUUCAAGGCUUUGGAAGGCACUAGCAAUAAUCAUGGGGUUGAUGCCAAGGACUUAAGUCUGGUCCCAAACUUAGUGUUACCUCACAAAUUCAAAAUGCCAAAAUUUGAAAAGGACAAUGGCACUACUUGCCCAGAGGCCCACAUCACAAUAUUUUGCAGAAGGAUGACAGGGUAUGUAAACAAUGAUCAGCUGUUGAUCCAUUGUUUUCAAGAUAGUUUGAUAGGAGCGGCAGCCAGAUGGUACAAUCAGUUGAGCCGGGCUAGAAUAAGUUCAUGGAGGGAUCUUGCACAAGCCUUCAUGCAACAGUACAAUCAUGUAACAGACAUGACCCCUGACAGGAUUACCCUGCAAAACAUGGAGAAGAAGCCUAAUGAGAAUUUUAGGCAAUAUGCACAGAGGUGGAGAGAGGUCGCGAUGUAGGUUCAACCACCACUGUUGGAGAAGGAGACCACUAUGUUAUUUAUUAAUACUCUGAAGUCCCCAUUUAUUACUCAUAUGAUUGGAAGCACUACUAAAAGUUUUGCGGACAUAGUUAUGGCAGGAGAGAUGAUAGAAAAUGCCAUAAGAGGGGGAAGAAUUAAGGGGGAAGUAGCCAAAAGAUCAGCCCCAAGAAGAAAAGACAACGAGGUAAACGAUACAAGUGAUUUUAAUUCAAAAGCAGUCACAGUUAGCCAGCCCAAAGUAGCCACAGUUGGGCAACAAGACUCUCAAAAGCAGGAAUCCAACAAUAGGCAUGAGAGGAUGCAAUUUACGCUUAUACCUGUGACGUAUAGGGAGCUCUAUCAAAAUCUAUAUGAUGCGCAUGCUAUAGUCCCUUUCCAUUUAAAACCAUUACAACCUCCGUAUCCUAAAUGGUAUGAUGCAAAUGCCAGAUGUGAGUAUCAUGCUGGAAUAUCGGGGCAUUUAAUCGAGAAUUAUACUGGAUUCAAGAAAGCCGUAGAGAGGUUGAUCAAGAAUGGGGUUUUAAAAUUUGAGAGUACCUCAAAUACUGAGAAUCCUUUGUCGAACCAUGACAAUCAGGGAGUAAAUGCCAUUGGUGAAGCCGGUGGAAAAAGGGAAAAGGAAAAUGUUGAUGAGAUAAGGAUGCCUAUGAGGGUAAUCUGGGAGGAGAUGAUAAAGAGAGGUAUGUUGACCUCUAAAAUACGAAAGAAAGAAUAGUGAGCUCCGUGAAGAUUGCGAGGAAUUCAAGGCCUUGGUGCAAGGCUUCAUAGACAACAAAGAGCUACAAGUUUUGAAGGUAGCUCUAGUGAAGAGCAAGUAUGUGUGCUGGAAAAUGAACAGAAAAGAACCAGCAGACCAAGGAUCAUUAUCUCCCUGCUAGGGAAUAAUGAAAUGAGGACACCAGCAGUGCCUAAGGUUAUUAUCCACACACCUACCCCUUUCCCUUACAAGGAUAGCAAGAAAGUACCAUAGAGUUCUGACUGUAGCGUGACGGUGUCGGGAGAAGGAAACAUAGCCAGCGCAUCUAAAAAUGUACGAGAUGAAGGUUCCCAUACGCGGAGUGGGAAGCGUUAUGAUAUGGGGGAUGUCAGAGUGGAGCCCAAAAAACCCAAGAAUGUUGAAAUUAAGAAAAAGAGUGAAGUACCUGUUAACGAGCCAGUGAGAGAGGAGGAAGCUAAGGAAUUUCUAAAGUUCCUUAAGCAUAGUGAGUACAGUGUGGUCGAGCAGUUGCGUAAGCAACCAGCAUGCAUAUCAGUUUUAGCCUUACUGCUAAGCUUUAAAGUGCAUCGAGAAGCAUUGGUGAAGGUACUCAACGAGACAUAUGUCACUCAUGAUAUAUCUGUCAAUAAGUUGGACCGGUUGAUAAAUAACAUCAGUGCUGUUAAUUUCAUCUACUUCAAUGAUGAUGAAAUUCCAACUGGGGGCAUAGGGUCAAUUAAGGCUUUGCACAUCACCACUCGUUGCAAAGGAUACACGCUUCCAAGUGUACUCAUUGAUAAUGGGUCCGCUUUGAACAUCCUUCCAUUAUCUACAUUGAACAGAUUACCCAUCGAUAGUUCGCACAUGAAGACAUGUCAUAAUGUGGUAAGAGCCUUUGACGGAACUGAAAGGAAAGUAAUGGGACGAAUUGACAUCCCUCUGGAGAUUGGACCAAAUACGUAUGAAGUUGACUUCCUGGUAAUGGAUAUCAAGCCCUCCUAUAAUUGUUUGUUGGGGAGGCCAUGGAUACACUCGGCAGGAGCGGUGCCUUCUUCACUGUACCAAAAAUUAAAGUUGGUGACAGAUGGACGCUUGAUAACCAUCAAUGUAGAGGAGGACAUCAUAGCAGCCGUCACUAGUAAACCUCCUUAUGUGGAGACAAAUGAGGAGGCUAUUGAGUGUUCUUUCCAUUCCUUGGAAAUUGUUAAUGCUACCUUCAUUUCGGAAGGAAGCGAGGUGCCGGUUCCCAGAAUGUCUAGAGCAACAAGGAUGGCCCUACAAAUAAUGAUGGGGAAAUGAGCAUUGCCAGGAAAAGGACUAGGAAAAUAGUUGCAAGGAGGGAUUCAAGUCCCAAAAUUGAUGGAGAAGAAGGAUCGCUUUGGUUUGGGUUUUAAGCCAAACCAUAAACAAAAGAGACAGGAGAUGGAAAAGCGUCAAGCAAGAAGGAAGGCGCGUUUGAACGGAAGAGAAGUAGAGUGGGAACUGAUGACAUUCCCACCUAUAUCCAAAACCUUUAAGUUAGGAGGGUUGCUGGUAGAAGAGAGUUAUCAUAUCAAUGUUGUACAUAGUGAGUGGUUUGGACAGGAAAACCUCGAGGGUAUUCGCCCUUACGAACCGGUGAGUUCUCUAAAUAAUUGGACUGCGGAGGAUCUUCCUGUAGUCUUUAGAAAUAUUUCAGAGUAAUUCUCGAAACAUGUUUAUUACUCUAGGGCCUAGGAGUAGUAAGAUUACAUUUGUGAAAAUAGGCUUAUGUUCAUCUAUUAUUAUUCAAAUAAAGCAUAACUUUUACUAAUUUAAAAGAGUAUUGCCUCAUUUUUAUCAACCAAUAUUCCUUUAAAUUCUAACAACUCUUAUUCUUUUAUUCAUAGCACAUAAAUGAUCAUUCUUAAAUUCAUUCAUUCUUUGUAUAUUCUUUCAUACCCCUUACAGGUCUCUAGAUAUCAAUGAUAUGAGCGCUAAUACUGCCGCUCCUGAUUUCUCUUGUGAGCAAGACAUGUGUUUAGAGGAGCCUCAGGAUUUUUAAGAUGUUUAAGAUUGUGAUGUAUCUCUCGAUCUAUUAAGAAUGGCAAAACAGGAGGAGCAACAAAUCAUGCCACAUGAAAAGGAGGCAAUAGAGAAUAUAGCCCUAGAGGAAGGGAAGGAGGUCAAAAUUGGAACACUGAUCGCUAAUGACACAAGGCGUAGCUUGAUUGAGUUGCUUCAGGAAUUCAAGGAUAUCUUUGCAUGGUCUUAUCAGGAUAUUCCCGGAUUGAGUACUGACAUUGUAGUACAUCGUCUUCCGAUAAGACAAGAAUGUAGACCGGUCCAAUAGAAGUUGCGAAGGAUGCGGCCAAACAUUGUCCAGAAAAUAAAAGAUGAGGUCAAGAAGCAGUUUGAUGCAGGAUUUUUGCAGGAAGUGAAGUACUCUGAAUGGGUAGCUAAUAUUGUACCUGUCCCUAACAAAGAUGGGAAGGUACGAAUGUGCGUUGAUUACAAAUAUCUAAACAAAGCAAGCCCAAAGGAUAAUUUUCCUCUGCCACACAUCGACACUUUAGUAGACAACACAGUGGGAUAUUCGUUGUUCUCCUUCAUGGACGGCUUCUCAGGAUAUAAUCAGAUAAAGAUGCAUCCAGAGGAUAUGGAUAAAACUACUUUCAUAACAUUGUGGGGCACCUUUUGUUAUAAAGUAAUGCCGUUUGGGUUGAAGAACGCAGGGGCAACAUACCAACGAGCCAUGGUAAACUUUUUUCACGACAUGAUGCAUAAGGAUAUUGAGGUAUACGUUGAUGAUAUGAUCGCCAAGUCGCGAACAGAAAAAGAACACAUUGAGGUCUUGAGAAGAUUGUUCUUAAGGUUGAGAAAAUUUUAGUUGAAGCUCAAUCCAGCAAAGUGCACCUUUGGAGCCAGAUCGGGGAAGUUAUUAGGCUUCGUAGUCAGUGAAAAGGGAAUUGAAGUUGACUCAGACAAGGUCAGACCAUACGAGAGUUGCCUCAACCACGUACUCAAAAAGAAGUUCGAGGAUUCCUAGGAAGGUUGAAUUACAUUGCUCGGUUCAUUUCACAAUUGACUGAGAAAUGUGAUCCUAUCUUUCAUGUGACAGCCCAAAAUUGACCCUAGUCGGGAAGUGGUUUCGGGACCGCUAAACCGAGUCAUAAAAAUAAUUAGCUGUCAUAUUUGAUGCUUAUUAUAUGUAUAUAUGCAUGUGUGAAAAUUUCAUAUUUGAAUUUUGUUUAAUUGUAGGUGAAUUUUAGUAAAUAGGACUUAUGUGAGAAAAUUUUGAAAUGUGAUAGGUUAAUUUAUAAGGACCUAUUAAAGCAUGUAGCGAAAAUAAUGGCUUUGCAUGUCAAAUACUCCUUUUUUUAUACAUAGUGGCCGGCCAUGAUGGAGCAUAUAUUAGAAUAUGUGGUAAAUUUCCAUGAAGUGGUCAUUAUUUUAUGUAAAGGAAAGGAAAUAAUAAAAGAAAUACUAAGGAUAAUAAAAGAAGUAAAAAAAAGGGGUUAUUACCUUGUUCUUCUUAGCCGUACAAGAAGAAGAAAAAGAGGGGGGGCAAAGGCAUUCGGCCUUUUGAAUGAAGAGAAGGUUAGUAAAUUUUGUUAAUCUUUCUUUUGAAAUCUUAGUUUGUUCAGGUUAAUCAUCACGUUUUUCUUAACUAGCCAUACUAAAAUUUUGAAUUUAGAGUGUUGGAUGGAACUUUCGGUUAUGGUAUGUGUGAGAAGAACUUGAUUUUUUUCUUACCUUUAAGUUUUGAUGUAUAAAGAAACAAAAGAUUGUUGAUGAAAGAAAUUAAUGUGUUAAGAGAUUAUAUGAAACUUAUUCAUGUUUAUAUAUGUUAUAUGCAUUGAAAAUGGUUGAUGAUUUUGGAUGUGAUUAGAUUGAAUCGGCCAUGGUAUAUCCAUAAGUAUGAUUUAUGCUUGUUAUGUUACUCAUGGUUAAAACGAUUCGGCUAUGGUUCAUGUAAAAAUAAAAUAUACAUGUGAAUUUAAAAGAUGGUAUGAACAAAUGUGGAGUUUUGCUAGUUUAGGAUUAUUCGGCCAAGUGUUUAUGUGGUGGAAAUUAAGUGUUAAAUGGAAUGAAAAUGAUAUUAUAUGGGGGUAUGUAUAUUCGGCCAUAUGAGUAAAUAUAUAGAUGAUGUUAAAUUUGAUUAUGUAUAAUGGGCCAUAUAGAGUACACAUUGUGAUAUUAACUUUAAUUCUCUAUAAUUGAUCAAGUGGAUGAUAUUGGUUUAUAUGGUCGAAUUUGAAUUAUGAAUAUGUACCUUGAAAUAAAAUGUUGCCGUAUGCUUCUUUUGAUAUGAAACUAUUAAUGUUAUGGGAUAUAAAUAACUAGCAAGGUAAUUAAACUAGUUGAUUUAUUUAUUUAAGCUCAAGAACCUAAAGGAGAGGCGUCCAACAAGGGAAAAUCGAAGGUCAUCGAGUAGCCGACUUGGAAUUAUUUUACCCAACAUAAAGUAAGUCAUUAAGCAUAUAGUUUGUAUUAAUUUAAAUGGUCAUAACGUCUAUGUAAUGAUGCUGAAUGGAAUGAUAAAUAUAUAUACAUGUAUGUAUGUGGUGAUGAAAGUGUUGAAUGAAAAGAAAAGAGGUGAAAUGUAUUGAGUUGUUGAUCUCGGCACUAAAAGUGCGGGUAUAAACAUUUAUGAUCAUGAGAUUGGCGCUAAGUGUGCGGAUUUAAAUUGUACAGCACUAAGUGUGCGAGUUUGAUUAUGUAGCACUAAGUGUGCGAGUUUGAUUAUAUAGCACUAAGUGUGCAAGUUGAUUAUAUAGCACUGAGUGUGCGGACUUAAUAUAUACUUUGGAAUCACUAUGGACACUAAGUGUGCGACAUUAUUGAGUUGAUCACGGACAGCGGAUCGGGUAAGUACCUCGAGUUCGUGACUAAUAGGCGCUAUGUUUAUAUUUGAAGUUGAGCUUGGUAAGUUUGAACCUAUGUGACAAUUAUAAUUGAAGUCACGUACAUAAGAUUUAUCAUGGAAUAGGUGAAAGGUCGUUUAGUUGUAUGAUUGUAACGAAAAUAAAAUUGCCUCAAAUAUCCUAUUGAUUAGUAUAUGGAAUGUGAAUGCAUGACUUGGUAUGAGCUUGAACCGAUAGGUUUGAGGAACUAUGGUAUGGUUCGGUAUGGAUGGAGUAACUAGCCUUGUUCCAUUUUGCUUCCUCUUGUGAUAAUGUUAUUAAUGGAUGGUAGUGCAUUGCUUAUGACUUACUGAGUUAUAUACUCACUCGGUGUUUCCUUGUCACCUAUUUUAGGUUUCUUGGACUCGUCUCUUUUUGCGUGAUCGGGCCGUCAUCGGAGUCAUCACACCGGCUAGCAACUUUUGGUAUUUUCUUUUUAGUCGGUCUAGGAGAACAUUUCGGCAUGUAUAGGCUAAUAUGUUUUGUUGAAAUUUGGUAUGUAAAAUUUUAGCCAUGCGAAAAUGGCAUAAAUGUUCGGUUGGAUUUGGUUUUAUAACGUUAGGUCGUAAGUCUUGGUAAUUCGAUUUUCUUUUUAUGCCAUAUGUCAUGGCUGAUUAAUUUUGAUGUUAAGAUUCAUGAUAUGGCAAUAGUGUAGUAGGGAGAUGUUUGACAAUGAUUAGCCUUUGGUAUGGCUAGUCAUGAUUAUAAUUUUGUGAUAUGUAUGAUGAAUUACUAGAUAGAUCAAUGAGAAAUCACGAAAUGGGCAUAGUUGCUUCAGUAACAGAUGCUGGCAGCAGCAGUGACGUGGGAUUGAAAAAUUACAAAAAUUAUUAGGAAUGGAAUUAAAUAGUUAAUAAAUUAUGUAAUCAAAGCUCGAUGAGUCUAUUUUCAUAUAGAAGUAACGAAACGAUCAUAUGGACAGUAUGUUAAGAGAUAUUCAGGUUCUCGUGAGACAGGGCCAGAACGGUUUCUGGGUUCCCUGUUCCGAAUUUGGAAAUUCAUUAUAAAUUAACCAGAGAUAAUUAGGAGUCAUGCCAUAUAUUUAUAGAUUCCUCUCUGAGUCUAGUUUCUAUAGAAACAAACGGCAUCAGUAUUGAAGCUUUGUGCAGGGAGUUAUCCAAAUCGUAAUGCAUGAAGGUCAGUGUAGUCGCACCCUGUAAUAGGGGAGAAUUUAACUAAUAAACUGUACUAAUUGGCCCGACCAAAAAUUCUACAAAAAUUCUACCAUAUAGGUAUAUGAGUCUAGUUCCAGGGAAAAGUUACGGAACUGGAUUUUGAGUUUCAGAACUCAAGAUAUGAUUUUUAAAGCGACUAGUACGCAGAUUGGCAGCUUGUCUGGGAAAUGUCAAAUAAGUGGUUUGAAGUCUGUUAACACCUCGUGUUCGACUCUGGCGACGGUCUCGGGUUCGGGGUGUUACAAUUUUAUUGGUAUCAGAGCUAUGGUUUAGUCGGUUCUAGGACUACCAUAGCACGUAUGAGUCUAGCUAUACAUGCCUUAAUGUUAAUGUUUAAAUGUGUGAUGACUUCUGACGGUUAAAAUUUUUGUUUUGAUUAGUAAAUGGAUCCCGGUGUAGAGAGAACCUUGGCGGAUGACGUUGAAAGUGUAGCGGCUGCUCCUGCACAAGGGACGCCGCCUGUUGAACCUCAGUCAUCUGCGAAUGAUCAAGGUGAGGGGGCUAAACAAGCCUUCUUUACCAUGAAGAAUGAGUGGGUCGCACAAUAUGCCCGAACCAAUCCGGCUGUCCAACAAUUCCCGAAUUUGAAUAAUCCACCCCAAGAGCCCGUAAUGCCAUCAGUCACUGAUCCUGUGAGGCUGAGUAAGCCACCUGUAGACUUGAUUAGGAAGCGCGGGGCUGAGGAGUUCAGGGCCAUAGUUACUGAUGAUGCUGAAAGGGCCGAGUUCUGGCUUGAUAACACCAUUCGGGUGUUUGAUGAACUGUCAUGCACACCCGAUGAAUGUCUAAAGUGUUCUAUAUCCUUGUUGCGGGACUCAGCCUACUAUUGGUGGAGGACCCUGAUUUCCAUAGUGCCAAACGAACGAGUUACUUGGGACUUCUUUCAAACGGAAUUCUGAAAGAAAUAUAUUAGCCAACGGUUCAUUGAUCAAAAGCGCAAGGAAUUCUUGGAACUCAAGCAAGGCCGUAUGACAGUAUCUGAAUACGAACAUGAAUUCGUAAGACUCAGUAGGUAUGCCCGGGAGUGUGUAGCUAAUGAGGUUGCUAUGUGUAAAAGAUUCGAAGAAGGAUUGAAUGAAGAUUUAAAGCUACUAGUGGGUAUUUUGGAGAUAAAAGAAUUCGUAACACUAGUCGAACGAGCCUGCAAGGCGGAAGAACUUGGAAAGGAGAAGAAGAAGGCUGAAUUUGAAGCUAGAGACUAUCAUAAAAGAUCGAUGGGUAAAGCUCCGUUCUCAGCUAUAAAGAAGUUCAGGGAGGACACUAAUAAGUCGAGGACGACUGCGGGAAUUUCCAUCAGGGCACGACCAUCGACGGACUCCCGAGCUACUUCGGUAGCUAGUGUGGGCAAUAAUCGUCAAGAGAAACCUGAAUGUCCCCAAUGCGGAAGACGACACCUAGGUGAAUGUUGGGGUAAGUCUACUAACAGGGCCUGUUACAGAUGCAGUUCGAAGGACCACUUCAUUAGAGAUUGCACGGAGCUUGAUGAGAAGAAUAAGAUUCAAGGUGCAAGACCUAGUGGAGUGAAAACUAGAGGUAGACCACCGAGAAUUUUAGGAGGUAGGGGUGGUAGUCAGAGAGGGGCCUCUGAUACGGCUGUUCGAGCCGAGAAUCGUACUCUUGCUAGAGCAUAUGCCAUUCGCGCACGAGAGGAGGCAUCCUCCCCUGACGUCAUCACUGGUACCUUCACUCUCAUUGAUACUAAUGUGAUUGCAUUGAUUGACCCUGGCUCUACUCAUUCAUAUGUAUGCGAAACCUUAGCAUCCAGUAAGACUCUACCUGUUGAGUCUACUGAGUUCGUAAUUCGAGUGUCAAACCCUUUGGGUCAAUGCGUACUUGUUGAUAAAGUGUGUAAGAGAUGCCCUCUAAUAAUCCGAGAAUCCUAUUUUCUGGCCGAUUUGAUGCUUUUGCCGUUUGACGAAUUUGAUGUUAUUCUUGGUUUGGAUUGGUUGACCGCGCAUGAUGCGGUUGUGAAUUGCAAAAGCAACACUAUUGAUUUGAGGUGCGCAAAUAACGAGAUAAUCCGAGUUGAGUCUACAGACUUAAGGGGGUUGCCAGGUGUAAUAUCAGCAAUGUUGGCCCAGAAAUAUGUAAGAAAAGGGUGCGAAGCAUACCUUGCGUAUGUACUUGAUGACAAAGAAUUAGAAAAGAAACCCGAAUCUGUGCCGGUGGUUUGUGAAUACCCGGAUGUUUUUCCUGAAGAGUUACCGGGUUUGCCACCUGUUCGGGAGAUAGAGUUUGGUAUUGAGCUUGUACCUGGAACUACGCCAAUUUCGAUAUCUCCGUAUCGUAUGGCACUAACCGAGUUAAAGGAAUUGAAAGCUCAAUUGCAAGAGUUGACGAAUAGAGGUUUCGCUCGACCAAGUUUCUCACCUUGGGGUGCACCAGUAUUGUUCGUGAAAAAGGACGGAACCAUGAGAUUGUACAUUGACUAUCGUCAACUGAAUAAAGUGACGAUAAAGAAUAAAUAUCCAUUACCGCGCAUUGAUGAUUUUUUUGAUCAACUAAAGGGAGCCUCAGUGUUUUCAAAGAUAGAUUUGAGAUCGGGUUAUUAUCAGUUGCGGAUUCGAGAUUCGGACGUACCCAAAACUGCUUUCAGAACGAGGUACGGUCACUACGAGUUCUUAGUGCUGCCGUUCGGCCUCACUAAUGCCCUUGCGGUAUUUAUGGAUUUGAUGAAUCGGAUCUUCAGACAGUAUUUGGACCGGUUCGUAGUUGUGUUCAUUGAUGACAUCUUAGUCUAUUCAGGAGAUGAGACCGAACAUGCUGAGCACCUGAUAUUAGUGUUGUAAAUUUUGUGGGAUAAGAAGUUAUAUGCUAAGUUCAGUAAGUGUGAGUUCUGGUUAAGAGAGGUUAGUUUCUUGGGUCAUGUGGUAUCCGCAUCGGGUAUUCGAGUUGACCCGAGCAAAAUUUCAGCCAUACUUAACUGGAAGCCUCCAAGAAAUGUUAACGAAGUUCGGAGCUUCCUAGGGCUUGCCGGUUAUUACCGACGAUUUGUAAAAGGGUUCUCGAUGAUAGCCACACCAAUGACGAAGCUACUUCAAAAGGAUGCUAAGUUCGAAUGGACAGAGAAAUGUCAGAAAAGCUUCGAUCAACUGAAAACUCAUUUGACUGAAGCUCCAAUUUUAGUGCAACCCGAAUCAGGCAAAGAGUUUGUCAUUUAUAGUGACGCAUCCCUACUCGGGUUGGGUUGCGUAUUGAUGUAAGAAGGUCGAGUUGUGGCCUAUGCGUCGAGAUAAUUGAAGCCACACGAGAGAAAUUAUCCAACCCAUGAUCUCGAACUAGCCGCCAUCGUAUUUGCUUUGAAAAUAUGGCGACAUUAUUUGUUUGGCGAAAAGUGCCAUGUAUUUUCGGAUCACAAAAGUCUCAAAUAUUUGAUGACUCAAAGAGACUUAAAUCUGCGACAAAGACGUUGGCUUGAGUUGUUGAAAGAUUACGAGCUUGUCAUUGAUUACCACCCGGGAAAGGCUAAUGUGGUUGCGGACGCCUUAAGCCGGAAAUCGCUGUUUGCUUUACGAGCGAUGAAUGUACACUUGUCUGUUCUACCCGACAAUGUGUUAGUAGCUGAAUUAAAGGCCAAACCAUUAUUGAUUCAUCAAAUUCGUGAAGCUCAGAAAGUCGACGAUGAAUUGGUUGCAAAACGGGCUGAAUGUAUUCCGAAUAUGGAAUCCGAAUUUCAAAUUGAUGAUGACGAUUGUUUGAGGUUCAGAAGUCGAUUGUGUGUUCCAAGAAAUUCAGAACUCAUUUCGAUGAUUCUGAACGAAGCUCAUUGUAGCCGAAUGUCAAUUCACCCGGGGAGUGCGAAAAUGUACAACGAUUUGGAACGUCGGUUUUGGUGGCAUGGUAUGAAACGGGACAUCUCCGACUUUGUUUCGAGAUGUUUAAUAUGUCAACAAGUGAAAGCGGAACAUCAAGUGCCUUCAGGAUUACUUCAGCCGAUCAUGAUACCUGAGUGGAAAUGGGAUCGAGUCACAAUGGACUUUGUGUCCGGACUGCCAUUGUCAGCAAGCAAGAAGGAUGCGAUUUGGGUUGUUGUUGAUAGACUGACUAAGUCGGCUCACUUUAUCCCCGUGCGUACGGAUUUUUCAUUGGAUAAACUAGCCGAAUUGUAUGUUUCUCAGAUUGUGAGAUUACAUGGAGUACCUAUUUCUAUCGUGUCAGAUAGAGAUCCGAGAUUCACCUCACGAUUUUGGAAGAAAUUGCAAGAACCUUUGGGUACCAAGCUGCAUUUUAGCACCGCUUUUCAUCCACAAACCGAUGGUCAAUCCGAGCGGAUAAUUCAGAUACUUGAGGAUAUGUUGAGAUGUUGCAUCCUCGAGUUUAGUGGUUCAUGGGAACGGUAUUUACCUUUGAUUGAAUUCGCUUACAACAAUAGUUUUCAAUCAAGUAUUAAAAUGGCACCUUACGAGGCUUUGUACGGUCGUAAAUGCCGUACACCAUUGUUUUGGACCGAGCUCGGUGAAAGUGAAAUUUUCGGAGUCGAUUUGAUUAAAGAUGCCGAACAGAAAGUAAGGGUAAUCCGUGAAAGUCUAAAGGCAGCCACGGAUCGUCAGAAAUCGUAUGCGGAUUUGAAACGAAAAGACAUUGAAUAUCAGGUGGGAGAUAAAGUGUUUCUUAAAGUUUCGCCUUGGAAAAAGGUACUCAGAUUUGGCCGAAAGGGCAAGUUGAGUCCGAGAUUCAUUGGGCCAUACGAAAUAUCCGAACGAGUCGGUCCAGUUGCGUAUCGAUUGAUUUUACCCCCUGAACUUGAAAAGAUUCACGACGUCUUUCAUGUUUCGAUGCUUCGACGCUAUAGAUCUGAUCCUUCGCACAUAAUUAGUCCGUCGGAGGUUGAAAUUCAAGCCGAUAUGAGUUAUGAAGAAGACCCGAUGCGUAUCCUAGCUCGUGAAGUGAAGGGGUUGCGAAACAAAAGGGUUCCGUUAGUAAAGGUGUUAUGGCUCAAACACGGGAUCGAGGAAGCUACUUGGGAAACCGAGAGCUCGAUGAAAGAACGAUACCCAAACCUAUUUACCGGUAAGAUUUUUGGGGACUAAAAUUUCUUGAGUGGGGGAGAGUUGUGGCAGCCCAAAAUUGACCCUAGUCGGGAAGUGGUUUCGGGACCGCUAAACCGAGUCAUAAAAAUAAUUAGCUGUCAUAUUUGAUGCUUAUUAUAUGUAUAUAUAUGCAUGUGUGAAAAUUUCAUAUUUGAAUUUUGUUUAAUUGUAGGUGAAUUUUAGUAAAUAGGACUUAUGUGAGAAAAUUUUGAAAUGUGAUAGGUUAAUUUAUAAGGACCUAUUAAAGCAUGUAGCGAAAAUAAUGGCUUUGCAUGUCAAAUACUCCUUUUUUUAUACAUAGUGGCCGGCCAUGAUGGAGCAUAUAUUAGAAUAUGUGGUAAAUUUCCAUGAAGUGGUCAUUAUUUUAUGUAAAGGAAAGGAAAUAAUAAAAGAAAUACUAAGGAUAAUAAAAGAAGUAAAAAAAAGGGGUUAUUACCUUGUUCUUCUUAGCCGUACAAGAAGAAGAAAAAGAGGGGGGAGGCAAAGGCAUUCGGCCUUUUGAAUGAAGAGAAGGUUAGUAAAUUUUGUUAAUCUUUCUUUUGAAAUCUUAGUUUGUUCAGGUUAAUCAUCACGUUUUUCUUACCUAGCCAUACUAAAAUUUUGAAUUUAGAGUGUUGGAUGGAACUUUCGGUUAUGGUAUGUGUGAGAAGAACUUGAUUUUUUUUCUUACCUUUAAGUUUUGAUGGAUAAAGAAACAAAAGAUUGUUGAUGAAAGAAAUUAAUGUGUUAAGAGAUUAUAUGAAACUUAUUCAUGUUUAUAUAUGUUAUAUGCAUUGAAAAUGGUUGAUGAUUUUGGAUGUGAUUAGAUUGAAUCGGCCAUGGUAUAUCCAUAAGUAUGAUUUAUGCUUGUUAUGUUACUCAUGGUUAAAACGAUUCGGCUAUGGUUCAUGUAAAAAUAAAAUAUACAUGUGAAUUUAAAAGAUGGUAUGAACAAAUGUGGAGUUUUGCUAGUUUAGGAUUAUUCGGCCAAGUGUUUAUGUGGUGGAAAUUAAGUGUUAAAUGGAAUGAAAAUGAUAUUAUAUGGGGGUAUGUAUAUUCGGCCAUAUGAGUAAAUAUAUAGAUGAUGUUAAAUUUGAUUAUGUAUAAUGGGCCAUAUAGAGUACACAUUGUGAUAUUAACUUUAAUUCUCUAUAAUUGAUCAAGUGGAUGAUAUUGGUUUAUAUGGUCGAAUUUGAAUUAUGAAUAUGUACCUUGAAAUAAAAUGUUGCCGUAUGCUUCUUUUGAUAUGAAACUAUUAAUGUUAUGGGAUAUAAAUAACUAGCAAGGUAAUUAAACUAGUUGAUUUAUUUAUUUAAGCUCAAGAACCUAAAGGAGAGGCGUCCAACAAGGGGAAAUCGAAGGUCAUCGAGUAGCCGACUUGGAAUUAUUUUACCCAACAUAAAGUAAGUCAUUAAGCAUAUAGUUUGUAUUAAUUUAAAUGGUCAUAACGUCUAUGUAAUGAUGCUGAAUGCAAUGAUAUAUAUAUAUACAUGUAUGUAUGUGGUGAUGAAAGUGUUGAAUGAAAAGAAAAGAGGUGAGAUGUAUUGAGUUGUUGAUCUCGGCACUAAGAGUGCGGGUAUAAACAUUUAUGAUCAUGAGAUUGGCGCUAAGUGUGCGGGUUUAAAUUGUACAGCACUAAGUGUGCGAGUUUGAUUAUGUAGCACUAAGUGUGCGAGUUUGAUUAUAUAGCACUAAGUGUGCAAGUUGAUUAUAUAGCACUGAGUGUGCGGACUUAAUAUAUACUUUGGAAUCACUAUGGACACUAAGUGUGCGACAUUAUUGAGUUGAUCACGGACAGCGGAUAGGGUAAGUACCUCGAGUUCGUGACUAAUAGGCGCUAUGUUUAUAUUUGAAGUUGAGCUUGGUAAGUUUGAACCUAUGUGACAAUUAUAAUUGAAGUCACGUACAUAAGAUUUAUCAUGGAAUAGGUGAAAGGUCGUUUAGUUGUAUGAUUGUAACGAAAAUAAAAUGAUGUAUGAAAAUGCCGCAAAUAUCCUAUUGAUUAGUAUAUGGAAUGUGAAUGCAUGACUUGGUAUGAGCUUGAACCGAUAGGUUUGAGGAACUAUGGUAUGGUUCGGUAUGGAUGGAGUAACUAGCCUCGUUCCAUUUUGCUUCCUCUUGUGAUAAUGUUAUUAAUGGAUGGUAGUGCAUUGCUUAUGACUUACUGAGUUAUAUACUCACUCGGUGUUUCCUUGUCACCUAUUUUAGGUUUCUUGGACUCGUCUCUUUUUGCGUGAUCGGGCCGUCAUCGGAGUCAUCACACCGGCUAGCAACUUUUGGUAUUUUCUUUUUAGUCGGUCUAGGAGAACAUUUCGGCAUGUAUAGGCUAAUAUGUUUUGUUGAAAUUUGGUAUGUAAAAUUUUAGCCAUGCGAAAAUGGCAUAAAUGUUCGGUUGGAUUUGGUUUUAUAACGUUAGGUCGUAAGUCUUGGUAAUUCGAUUUUCUUUUUAUGCCAUAUGUCAUGGCUGAUUAAUUUUGGUGUUAAGAUUCAUGAUAUGGCAAUAGUGUAGUUGGGAGAUGUUUGACAAUGAUUAGCCUUUGGUAUGGCUAGUCAUGAUUAUAAUUUUGUGAUAUGUAUGAUGAAUUACUAGAUAGAUCAAUGAGAAAUCACGAAAUGGGCAUAGUUGCUUCAGUAACAGAUGCUGGCAGCAGCAGUGACGUGGGAUUGAAAAAUUACAAAACUUAGUAGGAAUGGAAUUAAAUAGUUAAUAAAUUAUGUAAUCGAAGCUCGAUGAGUCUAUUUUCAUAUAGAAGUAACGAAACGAUCAUAUGGACAGUAUGUUAAGAGAUAUCCAGGUUCUCGUGAGACAGGGCCAGAACGGUUUCUGGGUUCCCUGUUCCGACUUUGGAAAUUCAUUAUAAAUUAACCAGAGAUAAUUAGGAGUCAUGACAUAUAUUUGUAGAUUCCUCUCUGAGUUUAGUUUCUAUAGAAACAAACGGUAUCAGUAUUGAAGCUUUGUGCAGGGAGUUAUCCAAAUCGUAAUGCAUGAAGGUCAGUGUAGUCGCACCCUGUAAUAGGGGAGAAUUUAACUAAUAAACUGUACUAAUUGGCCCGACCAAAAAUUCUACAAAAAUUCUACCAUAUAGGUAUAUGAGUCUAGUUCCAGGGAAAAUUUAUGGAACUGGAUUUUGAGUUUCAGAAAUCAAGAUAUGAUUUUUAAAGCGACUAGUACGCAGAUUGGCAGCUUGUCUGGGAAAUGUCAAAUAAGUGGUUUGAAGUCUGUUAACACCUCGUGUUCGACUCCGGCAACGAUCUCGGGUUCGGGGUGUUACAAUUCGUCUCCUCAGAAAGCACAAUCAAGGUGCUUGGGAUGAAGAAUGCCAGAAUGCUUUUGAGAAAGUCAAGCAGUAUUUGUUGAAUGCUCCAGUGUUAUCUCCGCCUAGUCCAGAUAAACCGUUAAUACUAUACUUGUCAGUGUUCAGCAAUUCUAUGGGAUGUGUGCUUGGUCAGCAUGACGAGUCAGGGAAAAAGGAAAAGGCAAUUUAUUAUCUCAGUAAGAAAUUCACUGACUGUGAAAUGAGAUAUUCGUCAAUCGAAAAGUUGUGUUGUGCGUUGAUUUGGACCACACGGAGAUUAAGACAGUACAUGCUAUACCAUACUACUUGGCUCAUCUCAAAAUUAGAUCCACUAAAAUACAUGAUGGAAUCAACGGCUCUAAAUGGAAGAAUGGCGAAGUGGCAAAUUUUGCUUUCAGAGUUCGAUAUAGUCUAUGUAAGUCAGAAGGCUAUCAAAGGAAGUGCGGUGGAAGACUUCUUGGCUAGUAGAGCUUUGGAAGAUUACGAGCCAUUGAAUUUUGAUUUUCCAAAUGAGGAGCUAAUGUGUAUAGCAGCAACUGAAGAUUCUCCAUGGAAGCUAAAUUUUGAUGGGGCAGUCUUGGUAUCCCCGAAUGGCGACCAUUACCCGUUCACAUGCAAGUUGGAUUUUGACUGUACAAAUAAUAUGGCUAAAUACGAAGCAUGCAUCAUGGGGCUCCAAGCAGCCAUAGAAAGAGGCAUAAAAACCCUAGAAGUAUAUGGAGAUUCUGCGUUGGUAAUCUAUCAGCUAAGAGGUGAAUGGGAGACAAGAGACCCUAAAUUGAUCAAUUAUCGAAUGGUAGUUUUGGGGUUACUAAGAGAGUUCGUGACAUCACCUUCAACUAUCUCCCACGAGAUGAGAAUCAGAUGGCAGAUGCUUUAGCAACAUUGGCUUCAAUGAUUAAGGCAAACAAAGAGGAAGAGAUGAGACCAAUUCAAAUGAGUGUCUAUGAAUUUCCAGCUAGCUGUUGUAACCUUGAAGAGGAAGAAAAGGAUGACAAUCCUUGGUAUCAGGAUAUAUUGCGAUAUGUAAGAGAUCGUAAAUAUCCAGUAUAGGCAUCCGAAAAUGACAAACGAACCCUGAGAAGAUUAGCUUGUGACUAUGUUUUGGACGGGGAUGUUCUGUACAAGAGAAGGAAAGACCAAGUACUUUUGAGAUGUGUCGAUGCUAUGGAAGCCAAGCUAAUUCUAGAAGAGGUUCAUCAAGGUGUAUGUGGUACGCAUGCAAAUGGGUUCACAAUGGCAAGACAAAUCAUGAGGUUUGGCUAUUACUGGGCCACUAUGGAAGGAGACUGUAUCAACUAUGCCAAAAAAUGCCAUAAGUGUCAGAUUUAUGGAGACAAAAUUCAUGUACCACCCUCACUUUUACAUGUCAUGACGUCUCCAUGGCCAUUUUCCAUGUGGGGUAUGGAUGUCAUCGGACCAAUAUCGCCAAAAGCUUCGAAUGGACAUCAGUUUAUUUUCGUAGUGAUUGACUACUUUACAAAAUGGGUAGAGGCUGCUUCUUACGCAAAUGUUACCAAGUCAGCUGUAAGUCGAUUUUUGAAGAAGGAAAUCAUUUGUUGGUAUGAAAUACCUGAGAGGAUCAUAUCCGACAAUGCAUUAAAUUUGAACAACAAAAUGAUAGCAGAAGUCUGCGACCAAUUCAAAAUCAAGCAUCACAACUCUUCACCCUAUCGUCCAAAGAUGAAUGGGGCAGUGGAGGCUGCCAAUAAGAACAUUAAGAAAAUAGUGGGAAAGAUGACUAAGACUUAUAGGGAUUGGCAUGAAAAGCUACCGUUUGCACUCUUGGCUUAUCGAACAUCUGUUAGAACUUCUACUGGGGCAACUCUGUUCUCGUUAGUUUACGGGAUGGAGGCAGUUUUACCUAUUGAAGUGGAAAUACCUUCUCUCCGAAUUUAAACAGAGAUAAGGUUAGAUGAAGCUAAAUGGGUUCAGUCUCGAUAUGACCAGCUAAACUUGAUUGAGGAAAAGAGGCUGAAGGCUAUCCGACAUGGUCAGAUGUACCAGAAGUGUAUGACGCGAGCUUAUGAUAAAAAAGUUCGUCCAAGGGAAUUCCAUGAGGGGGACCUUGUGCUAAAGAAAAUCCUUCCCAUUCAGAAGGACUUUAAAGGAAAAUGGAUGCCAAAUUGGGAGGGGCCAUACGUCGUGAAGAAGGCUUUUUCUGGUGGUGCAUUGAUUUUGACAGAAAUGGAUGGAAAGAGCCUACCCAAUUCGGUGAACUCAGACUCAGUCAAAAAGUACUUUGUCUAAAAGUGAAAAGAAUCCAAGGUGAAAACCCACAAAUGGCGCCUUUAAUUUAAAAAAAAAAGGAGAGGCCAAGGUGAAAACCCACAAAGGGCACCUUGUGACCAAAGAGAUUUUGAGUUGAAAACCCGAAAGGGCAGCUCAAAUUUUGAAGGACACACAGCAACCUUGCUUGACAGAGAGUGAGGCACAGUGUACAUUGGGGCAUCAACAAAGUACUUUGGAUCUUUUAAACACAUGUCGAACUCAAGAAAGGCUUCGAGGAACUAAUGUAUAGAUGCUCAAGCGGCAAUAUUUAGGGCAUCUGAUUUUUAUCCUGUUUGCUAUCUUUAGAUUCUAUUUCUUCUUAAAGAUAUGCUAUCAGACUUAUUUCCUUUGUAUUGUUAACAAUUCAAAUCCAAUUAUUCUCAAAGAUUUACUCAUCUUCUGAUAUUUUUAAAGUAUGUUGCAUUGAAAUAAUGAUAGAUGAACUAAAAUAUUUUCACAAACGAAGUUUUGCACAUUACUUUGGAAUUUCUAGAUAAUACAAGAAACUAAAACAGGACAAUUGCUCGAGAAAUUCACGUAAGUAAGGGAUGAAGGAACUUGAGGGAUUUCUUUCUUCCAGUCCAAAAAGAAAUGGAUGAUUCAAUUCUUACAGACAUCCUCAGUAGAUCAUAGCAUUGGAGGAAGGCCUACAAGAUGAGUAAGAAUAAAAUUUUGAGAAAGACAAAUGAAUGAAUGAAUAAUGACACCUGAGAUUGGGGUCAUAUUCACAGCACUUUGCAUCAUAACAUGUUAAGGACAUUCGACUCAUUUCAAUCAUAGCAUACUUAGGCAUAGGCACUUAAUCAUCUUACAGGUCAUGUCCUCUAGGGGACAAUGAAGAUCAAAGAUUUCAACAUGGCAUCCCUGUGCUUAUGGGAAAUAAAUUGAAGACAGCAGAUCUAGACUUCAGACAUUUAUGCUAAAGCAGAUCCAAGAUAAUUUGGUAUUCUUGUGUUUACAAGAAACAAAUCGAGGACAUAGCAGAUCUGACUCUCAGACGUUCUCAAAUAUAACAGAUCUAGACUUUAGACAUUUAUGCUGAAGCAGAUCCAAGAUGAUUUGGUAUUCUUGUGUUUACAAGAAACAAAUCGAGGACAUAGCAGAUUUGACUCUCAGACGUUCUCAAAUAUAGCAGAUCUAACCUUCGGAUGUUUAUACUGAAGCAGAUCCAAGAUGAUUUGGUAUUCUUGUGUUUACAAGAAACAAAUCGAGGACAUAGCAGAUUUGACUCUCAGACGUUCUCAAAUAUAGCAGAUCUAACCUUCAGAUGUUUAUACUGAAGCAGAUCCAAGAUGAUUUGGUAUUCUUGUGUUUACAAGGAACAAACCGAGGACAUAGCAGAUUAGACUUUCAGAUGUUCUCAAACAGACUCAAGAUGGUUUGGCAUCCUUGUGCUUACAAAGAACAAAUCGAGGACAUUGCAUAUAUGACUCUCAAAUGUUCUCAAACAGACUCAAGAUGGUUUGGCAUCCUUAUGCUUACAAGGAACAAAUCGAGGAAAUUGCAGAUAUGACUCUCAAAUGUUCUCAAACAGACUCAAGACGGUUUGGCAUCCUUGUGCUUACAAGGAACAAAUCGAGGACAUUGUAGAUAUGACUCUCAAAUGUUCUCAAACAGACUCAAGAUGGUUUAGGCAUCCUUGUGCUUACAAGGAACAAGUCGAGGACCUUGCAGAUAUGAUUCUCAAAUGUUCUCAAGCAGACUCAAAAUGAUUUGACAUCCUUACAAAUCGAAGAAGCAGACUCAGUGUCUUUAUGUUUGGCGGAAAGCGGAUUGAAGAUCAUAGAACCGAUCAAAUUUGGGUCUUCUUAUGAGUCUUUGCUUGAUUCCUGUUACACAGCAAUAAGCAAAGAGGGGCAGCUGUAAUAGCCCAAAUUUGACCGGGUUUAAAUAAGGAAAAAGAAAUUAGAUAAAUAAAUAAAAAAUUAUUUAUUAAAUAGUCCAUUGAAAGUCCAGGACUACUGUUGCUACCCAAAGCCCAAAUACAAAAAACCCAUAUCUGGGUAUAACCCAAUAGCCAAAACAAUACCUAAUACCCCUGAGCUAAACCCAAACCCAAAUAAGACCCGUUACAUCCAGCAGCCCGUUAGACUCAUUAUCCCUGCUAGCCUAAGUCAGACCUAACCCAUUACAUUACAGACCUUGACCCAAAACAAAACAGCCCAAAAGGCCCAACAGACUUAAGAGAAACAGGGAAACCCUAGGGUUUCCUGAAUACUGUGGCGCCGCAAACAUUUCUGGAAGCUUCGGGGAGUGUCUGGCAACCCCCAAAUCG